UGAUCCUGGAGCAUUUUGACUGGUGAAUUUUAGAAGUAUGCUCUCUUAAGAAUGUACAUUAGGGUUCCAUAUUGUAACAGACUGUAUUAAUCCAUUUUCAUGCUGCUGGUAAAGACAUACCAUACCUAAGACUGGGGGAAAAAAAGAGGUUUAAUGGACUUACAGUUCCAUAUGGCUGGGGACGCCUCACAGUCAUGGUGGAAGGCAAGGAGGAGCAAGUCACAUCUUACAUAGAUGGCAGCAGGCAAAAAGAGAGAGAGAGCUUGUGCAGGGAAACACCUGUUUUUAAAACUAUCAGAUCUUGUGAGACUCAUUUACUAGCACAAGAACAGUGCAGGAAAGGCCCAUCCCCAUAAUUCAAUCACCUCCUACUGGGUUCCUCCCACAACAUGUGGGAAUUGUAGGAGUUAAAAUUCAAGAUGAGAUUUGGGUGGGGACACAGCCAAACCAUAUCAGAGACCAAUGGCCAGAUUUAUUAAAAUUCUGAGAAGCAUUAUUCUCCAGUGCCUUCUUCUGACUUAAGGUCAGUUCCUCUUUGAUUAAGAUACUUUACUAAUAGAGCAAAAUGGCAAAGUAUGCAACUUCAAAUUCACAUCCAUCAUAGAAACUUUUUUUUAAAAGCAGAAAUUGCCAAAACAACUUUGUCAGAGCCCUGGAUAAUAGUCAAACUUUAAUGGCCACUAAAAAAAAGUGUAAUAAAAAAGGAACUCAAGAAUAAAAAUUUCUGUCAAAACACUAGCUAAAAGCAAGCUAAGAAACAGAGACUUUAUGUAACCACACAUGACAAGGAAUACAGUUUUUGAAAAAAUAGUUUGGAGAAAGUGAUUAAACAAAUAGACAACUGCAGAAAUCUACAAUAAAAAAACAGAAACUCUGGAUAAAAGGAAAAAUAUAAUUAUCAGUUACCACAUUAUAAUAUUCAACUCUCUGGAUAUCAACAAAAGAUCAGAAGGCAUUCAAAAAACAGGAAAUUUUGACCAAUUUCCAAUAAAUAAAUAAAUUGAUGGAAAAUAUCAUUGAGGAAGCACAGAUAUCAGACUUACUAGGCAAAGACUACAAAUUGAUUUCCUUAAAUAUUCUCAAAGAGCUAAAGGGAAUCAAGAAAAUAAUUUAUGGUCAAAAGAAGUCUAUCAGUAAAGAGGCAGAAAUUAGUAAAGGGAACCUGGAGCUGAAGUAUGCAAUAACUAAAAUUUUAAAAUUACUAGAAGGCUUCAACCACAGAAUUGAGCAAACAGAAGAAAGAAUAAGCAAUUGAAUAUAGAACAAUUGAAAUUAUCCAGUGUAAAGAGCAUAAAGAAUAAAGAAAAGUGAACACAGCCUAAGUGAUCUGAGGGACAUUAUCAAGCAAAUUGACAUAUGCAUUAUUGGAGUCUUAGAAGAAUAAGAAAGAGAGAAAAGAACAGAAAAAAUAUUUGAGGAAAUAAUAACCAGUUCCUCACAAAUUUCGUGAAAAACAUAAGCUCAUCAAACUCCAACUAUCAUAAAACCAAGAGAGUCACACUAUAAUAUAUUCACAAUAUAUAAUUCACAAAAUAAAGUUAAGACACAUUGUAAUCAAGCUGCAAAGAGCCAAAGACAAAAAGAAUUUUGAAAGCAGCAAGAGAAAAGCAGUCCUUCAUGUACAAAGUAUUCCCAGUAACAGCAACAACAAAUUUCUCAACACAAACCAUGGCAGCUAGAAGGUAGUAAGAUGACAUGUUAAGAGUGCCAAAAGAAGAAACUGUCAAUCAUGAGUUCUUUAUCUGAUGAAACUAUCCUUCAAAAAUAGAGGUAAAAUUAAGACAACCCCAGAUAAACAAAAGCUGAGUGAUUUAUUUGCCAAUAGACCUUCCCUACAAGAAAUGCUAAAGUGAGUCCUUCAGAAAUAUAAAAACAAUUGACAGUGACCCAAAGAACAAAGAUAUAAAGAUUUCUGGUAAAAGGAACUGCAUAGGUAAACACAAAAGGCAGCAUUAUUGCAUUUUUUGGUUUGUAAAUAUACUUUUUAUUUCUCACAUGAUUAAAAAGUAUAAGCACAUAAACAAUAAUCAUAAAUCAAUGUUAUUUGGCAGACAACGUAUUCUCAAUCCAAAAGAGUCACAUGUGCAUACAAUGUUUAGAUAAAAAGGGUAAAGGCCUUUUAUAGUUAACUGCUUAAAAAAAAACUACCAUUGAGUACUUUGCCUUUAGUGUUCAUAAAAAUCCAUGGAACUUUAGGAAAAGCUAUUCAGGGCUGUUUCCUCUGAUAGUUUUUAUUCCAAAUCAACUUUGUCAAUGUUUUAAUAAUUUAUUUUCCAGGGAUAAAAUGUUCCUUUGCAGUCUGUUACAGAGUUAGAUUUUAUUGAACUCACUAAACAGUACAGAAAAAAUCCAGUGUUAUUUCAGUGUAUUUCAACCAACUUCAACUGAGUUGAGACCUUUAUAAUAUUAUUUUAAAAGUAAGGGUUUAACUGCAAAGAAGGGGGAAUUAAAGUGAUGUUGAGAACGAGGUUUUUAAAUGUAUUAAUUGUACCUAGGUUUUCAUAGGCUGCCUUCAUCUUGAACCUUCCUUAUACUUCCUUUCUGUUUACCACCCUGCUCUAUGUCAUACUUAAAGAGAUAUAGUUAUCACUAAAAUGGACAGAGUUGGUUAAUUUUCAGCAGACCUUAGGGCAUUAAACUAAAAUUGUGUAUUAGUAUAAUCAAUGACUGCAUCUGAUCCCAUGGUUUUGCUUCUUUCUUUAACAUAUGCUGUCACUUAGGGUCUAUUGUUUUCUUUGAUAUUUCUCCCCAAUUUUCAUAAUUAAGAAAUAACUCUCUAUCAAAGAUUUUAAACACAAAAUAUACUUUUAUUUACAAUUGAGAAUGUUGGACAUGAAUUUACACAUAUCCAUCAUCAUAUAUGGAAAUUUGGCAUUGUAAUGCUCUUUAGAAUGAACAAAAACAUGUAACUGAAUUCUUGUUCCUUAUCAUUAAUAUUUAUUCCUGAUUGGUUCAGUUACAUACAUAGCAGGAUGGAAACACAUACAGAUGUUUCUCAACUUAUAAUGGCAGUACAUCCUGACAAGACCAUUAUAAAUGGAAAAUAUCAUAAGUCAAAACUGAUUUAAUACAUCUAACCUACUGAACAUCAUAGCUUAGCCUCACCUAUUUUAAACGUGCUCAAAACACUUACAUUAGCCUACAGGUGGGCAAAAUUAUCUAAUACAAACCUAUUUUAUAAUAAAGUGCUGAAUAUCUCAUGUAACUUAUUGAAUACUGUACUUAAAGUGAAAAAUAGAAUGGUUCUUAUGCAUUCAAAUAAUGCAUACUUGUAGUACAGUUUCUAUUGAAUGUCCAUCAAUCUUGCACUAUUGUAGCUAACGUAGAUGGUCUCAACUGAGACACAGAAAUUUUUGGCUCCCCAUUGUAAGUUGAGGACCAUCUGUGGUUUUCAAGUAUUUAACAAUGUUGAAUAUCUUGUCUAUAUACCCUAUCACUCUUAAAGAAACUGUUUUGAUAGGGAUUGAGCUUUGGAUACCUUAUAAAGGUGAACAAUAGCACUCCAUACAGAUCAGCCUCAUAGUCAGAGGGGAGCACCCCUAUUCCUAACUUAAUUCUUUACAAGACCUUGGCUCAUCUUAAUAAUUGAUAUAAUUAGCUCUUGGCUUGUGGGGCCUUUGUGGUUGUGAUUGCAAGUAAGCAACUUGCACUUGGCACUUUUAUGUGCAAAUAGGCUCGCUCUCGCUCUCUAUUUUUGAUCUUUACUUAACUUUUUAGAAUUCUCAAUUGGAAUUGAUAUUUUAUCCAGUGUUGUUGAAUUGUCUCUGGGAAUAAAAUAUAUUCAUAGGAUACCAUUUAGGAGAGAAGGAAGGAAGGAAGGAAGGAAGGAAGGAAGGAAGGAAGGAAGGAAGGAAGGAAGGAAGGAAGGGAGGGAAGUAGGGAGGGGAGAAAGAAAAAUUUAGAACUCUCAUUCCAUGUUCCCAUAGCUAGUUGACAUAAACCUAAAACACUUUCUCCUAUCUCCAGUAUCAGUGUCCUAUCUCCAGUAUCAGUAUCCUAUCUCCAAAAUGCAGAAGCUGUUCUACACAUUGUCCAGAGAUCAAGUGUCUCGCCAAACUUCCACAAUCUCCCAAUUUUCUCUUUCUCUCUACAAUGGGUAGCAUCUUGCACCUUCACCCCACUCCCUACAACCAGCCCUGCCUGCUGCACAUUCUGCCUCUCCUGGGAAUCCCCAGACCUCACAGGACCAGUCAGAUAGGGAAGAAGCUUCACUGUUCCAUGGGACUGUGGGAGCCCAGCCAGGAGUAAUGCUGCUGAAGCCAGGCAGACCUGGAUCUUGCUCAAGGUCAACACUUAACAGCGAUGUGAUCUUAGACUUAGCCUGUCUAAUCCUCAUUGUUCUCAUUUGUAAAGAGUAAUAACAAUGAGGCUACUUGAGAAUUUAAUUAGAUGAACCAUGUAAAGUGUUCAGGGCAUUAUCUGGCAUAGAAUAAGAACAAUCACACACAUAAUUUUUUGACUUUUAGGCUUGGGUUAUUACUAACAUUACCAUUAUCUACUGCCACAUACAUUCAUUCUACUUACCGUAUUUGUAAUUUGGACUUAUGAUUUGCAGCCUCCUCUUCUCCCAGGCUUUCACAAAUAACAAUGCCAUACAAUAGAUCUAAAUGUCCAGCCAGUCUCACAGACCUGGAGAGAAAUAUAUAGUCCUGGGACAAUAAUCAUUCUGUAAAGAAAGAGAAUUAUUUAUAACCUCAGAGUGGGAAAGAUCUUUCUAACGCUGCCUCAAAAUGCAAAGCCAUAAAAGGAAAAACAUUGAUAAACUGUACUAAAUCAAAUCAUAACUUUGCACAGCAUAAAACACCAAAGACAAACAAAAGAUGUCAGGCACAGUGGCUCACAUCUGUAGUCCCAGCUCCUCAGGAGGCUGAAGUGGGAAGAUCACUUGAGCCCAGGCAGGUCAAAGCUGUAGUUACCUGAGAUCAUGCCACUGCACUCCAGCCCCGGUGAUAGAACAAAACCCUGUCUCAAAAAAAAAAAAAAAAAAAAAAAAAACAAACUUUGCGACACUGCACUCCAGCUUGGGCUUUAGAGUGAGACUCCAUCAAAAAAAAAAAAAAAAAAAAAGGCACACGACAAGCUAGGAAAAAUAUAUUUGCAAUUCAAUCACAAAAUACUAACAUCCUCAAUAUAUAGCAGUUUAGUUAGAAAACGAUCAAGAAUUCAGCAGAAAGAAUUUAAAAAAAAAAGGAGAUGAAAACAGAGUUCAGAGAGCAGGAAACGCAAAUGUGUCUUAAACAAAAGAAGUUUCAAUCUCAACUAGUGUAUUUCUAGCUAAUGCCACACUGAGAUACUGUCUCUGAUUCACCAAAUUUGCAGUCUAAAGUCUGAUGAUGUACUCUGUUGGUAAGACGCAUGUUUGAUCAUCAUUGGUGGGCCAGAUAUUUUUGCAACCCUUGUGGAAGGAAGUCUGGCAAUAUAUAUCCUAAUUGCAAAUGAAUAUUCCUUUUGCCCCAGUAAUCCUACUUCUGGGUAUUUAACCCACAUACGUCUUUUGAUUAUUCAUCACAAAUAUGAAUCAAUAUAUGUCCAAAUGUCUUCACUUCAGCACUUCAAAUACGUAGCAAAUUGAAAUCUACUUGUGUUCAUCAAUACCGCAUUGUUUAAAUAAAUUAUGAUCAAGCCAGAGAAUACUGAAAAUACUGUGUAACUAUAAAUAAAUAAAGGUAAGACAAUAAAUAAAGAAAGGAACAUAUGUUGGCACUCAUGUGGAACAACAGAAUGGCAGGCAAAAUAUAUUAAGUAGAUAAAAACCAGGAUCUUGUAGAGGGUGUGUAAUAUGCCAUCAUCUGUUGAAACAAUCAAAGGAAAAUAAUAUGUUAGUAUUUUAGUAUUAGUAUAUGCCCCAAACUAUUCCAGGAAAGAUACCUGAGACACCAACCACAGUGCAGUGGGCCCUCCAUAGGGGCUGGUGGGGCUGACCUUCAGCAGGGCCCUCCACAAGGAGCCCAGGAAUUUAUAACCAGGGACCAUUCUGAUUGGCCAAUACCUGUGCCACAAGAGUUGCCAAAUAUUUUGAAUAUUAUUCCCAAACUUGGGGAGACGUGCUGAUGGUGAAAAGAAACUGGGGAAUCACCUUACCCUAACGUUGCCUUUUCCAGAAAGGGGAGCUGAGCUCAAAGACCCAGAGUGAGACGUGUCCUCUGAACCAUCUCCUCCCAGCUAUGCCAUUAAUGUUGUCCUGUGGGAAGCCUGAAGCCAUCCCUGGUGGGCGUAUGUACACCACAGAACCAGCAAACAUUACUCCUUAGAUAAAACGAAUAUGUAUUUGCAAUUGUGAUAUAUAUUGCCAGAUUACCUCCCACUAGGGUUGCACAAAUAUACAGCUCAACAAUGUUGCUCAAAGGUGCCUUUUAGCAAGAGUGCAUCAUUUUCUGAAAGCUGGUCACACUGCGAGGACUUAUCACAACAAAUAACAGACAUCAGCAUAGUAUAGAUAAGACUUAAAUGAAUACCUCGUAACUCCAAUCUCUCCAGGCUCUCUGCUGAGCCAGGCUGCCUAUUGCUGCAGAAAUCCGAUUUAAACUAUGAAAAGGAUUCUACAUACACUCUUAACAAGGUAAGGAUGCUUUGCCAGAGCAUGAUCGAGAGAGAUCUUCAUCCAUGUACAAAUCACAAAACAGGAAGGACAGAAGCUAGAGAAAGUCUCCCCGUGUAUGCAAAACGGGAAGCUCUGGAGCUGACAGAACACCCCUAAGGAUAGAAUGAAAGGGAAUUUGUGUCAUUCUGGUUUAAAAGUCAUUGUUCAACAAAUAGCUGGUUAAUGACUUCUGAUCAAGCAGCAGUUAAGUUUGUCUACCCCUAAAUUUUAUAGCAUUGUGAGAGUUUCCUAGUUGCACAAGGUUUCCAAGUAUAUUGUCAUUUCUGUGGCUGUUUUAUAUUUUUAGAUUCCUUCAUGAAAGGAGAGCAGGUUGAUAACACUGCCAUUGAUAAUUUCUAAAUCAGAAACCCAAGUUAUCACCAAUAACCCCUGGAGAUGACUGUAUCCAAGUUACAAAGCUCCCAUGCAGAGAUAUUCAGGUUCCAUUGAAAAGGAGGUACAGUAUCUUUAAAAAUUUUGCUCUUUGGAUCCAGUAGUUACAACAUUGCACUAAAACUUCAAAGAAAAUUGAAGUUACCCAGAGGUAAUCUAGUGAGUGAUCUUACUACUUUAACCCCAGGAUGAAACAGAAUUCAAUGUUUACUGCUUUUAUUUAGACUGUGUAUGCAAAAUGAGCUAUUACUGUAAGGUAAUUAUCCAGUUACUUCCAAUCUAAAUCUCCAAUAAUUUAAGCUGGGAUCACACUAAAAUUAAUCUUCAGUGAUCUCUAAAGUGAACUCUGAAAAUGUGUUGAGUGCACACUUCAAAUAUAUAUCAAAUUCUUCAUAAAUGUACUUGCUCAAGUCUAUUGUAUGCAUUAUUAAAUGUAUGCAAAACCAAAACCUUAAAAUAGUAAUGCAAAAAUGGACAUAAAUGUAGAAACCCAUCCUUCCUUUCUGCAUGCAGUGGGCCACUUUGCAGUUGCCCUCCAUGUGAAUGUGACGUUCCAGCGAUCAUGAAUCUGAAACGCUGGCUCUCAAACCCCAAUGUGCUUCACAGCAAGUGUAUGCUUAUGCAAAAUGCACCCUCUCCACCUCUACGGUAAGAUUCUGGGUGUGUACUGAAAGGAAGCUGUGAAAAUGUAUUUCAACACCCAGUGGGGCGGGGAAUGUGGGGGGAUACUGACUUAUGCUGUGAGAAGUAGUUUAGAGCCUAGGUGAUUUAUUACACACAAUGUUUGGCUGAGUCUCCACUCACUUUUCGUUGAUAGUCAUAAUCAUUUCUCUGAGGAAUUAAAUAACUCAAAUUUCUUGCUGUGUCUGGAAUUGGUUCCUUCCGGUGGAUUCUUGGUCUCACUGACUUCAAGAAUGAAGCCACGGACACUCGCAGUGAGUGUUACGUUCAUAAAGAUGGUGUGUGCGGAGUUUGUUCCUUCAGAUGUUCAGAUGUGUCCGGAGUUUCUUCCUUCCAGUGGAUUCAUGGUCUCACUGACUUCAGGAGUGAAGCAGCAGACCUUCGCACUCCUGAAGGAAAGUCGUUAUCUUCCCCCAGCUUAAAUCUCAGCCAUCUUUGGGAUCUUGCAUUGCCUCAUUUCCUUGGCACCUGGAGGAGCAAGAAUCGGAGUUGAAGAAACCAGAAAAUCAGAUUUUUUUCUAAACCCAAGGAAAACCUUCUCCUCAUGUCAAACAACAAGAGCCAGACAGAAGAGUUUUAGACAGUAACCACUCUACUUCAUCCAGAUACCAUAGAAAAAGUAUGAACCUAUCCACAUCCAACAGCAAGGGUGUUCCUCUCCUAUCUGGUUGAGUGCUAUCAGAAGAGAUCUAUGUGAGAGUGAAAAUUUUAAUCACUGCCCAGGGGUAACACACACUCCCUGUGGUGUCUGUGGAAGACACAUGGAGAGAAAUAAUAGAUACUUCUGCUUCUCCCAGCCAGGUUAGUAUCAGUAGAAGCUUCAUGGGCUGCCAAAACUCCCUCCACUGAGCAGAAAUAAGGAGACCCCUAUAUUGAAUGUCAAUGAAGGCGAAGCAGAAAACUUGGACAUCUACACCCACCUGACAGUAAUGGGACAGCAGCUUCCUCCCUUACCAGAGAAAUCUCUCAGAGAAAGCUAGGUAAAAGACAAGAUUUACAUAAGAUGCACAGUACCCAAAUUUCCAAGUUUCAGUUGAAAAUCACUCAUCAUAUCAAGAACCAGGAAAAUUUCAACCUGAAUGGAAAAAGAAAAUUAAUACAUGCCAGUGUCAGAGGCAUUUGAACCAGAGCAACUCCGUCUUGAAUAAGGGCUGAGUAAAAUGAGGCUGAGACCUACUGGGUUGCAUUCCCAGGAUGUUAGGCAUUCUUAGUCAUAGGAUAAGAUAGGAGGUCAGCACAAGAUACAGGUCAAGAUACAGGCCACAAAGACCUUGCUGUUAAGAAAGGAUGUGGUAAAGAAGCCAAAACCAAGAUGGUGAUGAAAGUGACCUCUGGUCAUCCUCACUGCUCACUAUAUGCUAAUUAUAAAGCAUUAGCAUGCUAAAAGACUCUGCUACCAGCACCAUGACAGUUAAUGAAUGCCAUGGCAAUGUCAGGAGGUUACCCUGUAUGGUCUAAAAAGGGAAGGAACCCUCAGUUCCAGGAAGCGCCCACCCCUUUCCUGGAAAACUCAUGAAUAAUCCACCCCUUGUUAACCAUAUAAUCAAGAAAUAACUAUAAGUAUAUUCACUUAUAUCCACUUAUAUCCACUUAUAUUCACUGGAUAUCCACUUAUAUCCAGUAUAUUCACUUAUAUCCACUGCCUGUGGAGUAGCCAGCCAUUCUUUACUCCUUUGCUUUCUUAAUAAACUUGCUUUCACUUUACUCUAUGGACUCAUCCCAAAUUCUUUUUGCAUGAGGUCCAAGAACCCUCUCUUGGACUCUGAAUCCAGACCCCUUUCUGGUAACACCAGCACUGAGAUAACAGAGAUGUUAGGAUUAUCUGACAAGGAUUUUAAAGUAUCCUGAUAAAAAUUAUUUGAUGAGCAAUUGCAAACACACUUGAAAAUAAAAAAAAAAAUAGAAAGGCUUAGCAAAAAAAAAGGAGAAAGUUUCAGAAAAGAUAGAAGAUAUUUUGAAGGGCUAAAUUGAAAUUCUAGAACUAAAAUUUACAAUGACCAAAAUUCUUAAAAACAGCAAAUGAAAGCAAAGGAGGAGAGAACCAGUGCAUUUGGAGAUAGAGCAGAAAUUAUCCAAUAUAAGCAAGAGUGAGAAAAUAGACUGAAAAAAAAAAGAAACUCUCAGAGACCUGUAGAAAACAACAAAAAUUCUAAUAUUUGACAUCAUUGAAGUUCAAAAGAUGAAGAGAAAGAGAGCAGGACUGGAAAAGUACUCUAAUAAAUAAUAGCUAAAACUUCCCAAAUUUGUCAAAAGACACGAAUAGAUUCAAGAAGCUGAACAAAUCCCAAACAAGAUUUUCAAACAAAUCUCAAAUGAAGUAUUCACAUCAAGACACUUUUUUAUUUUAUUUUAUUUUAUUUUGUUUUAUUUUAUUUUUAUUUUUGAGACAGAGUCUCACUCUGUUGCCCAGUCUGGAGUGCAGUGGUGCCAUCUCAGCUCACUGCAACCUCUGCCUCUUGGAUUCAAGCAAUUAUCCUGCCUCAGCCUCCCGAGUAGUUGGGAUUACAAGGCACAUGCCACCACACCUGGCUAACUUUUGUAUUUUGAGUAGUGAUGGGGUUU
rnacentral:lncRNA from 10 species